UCGGGGCAUCGCAGGUUCCCGGCGUCGCAAAGACGGCUCCCCGUCCAAGUCCUGC
ncrna:unclassified sequences chromate-resist RNA